rnacentral:rRNA from 1 species
UACAGAGGUCCCAAGCGUUGUUCGGAUUCAUUGGGCGUAAAGGGUGUGUAGGUGGCGCCGUAAGUCGGGUGUGAAAUUUUAGAGCUUAACUCUGAAACUGCAUUCGAUACUGCGGUGCUUGAGGACUGGAGAGGAGACUGGAAUUUACGGUGUAGCAGUGAAAUGCGUAGAUAUCGUAAGGAAGACCAGUGGCGAAGGCGGGUCUCUGGACAGUUCCUGACACUGAGACACGAAGGCCAGGGGAGCAAACGG